ensembl:snRNA U6 U6 spliceosomal RNA
GUGCUCAUUUUGACUGUACAUAUGCUAAAAUUGGAACAAUACAGAGAUUAUCGUGGCCCUUGCAUAAGGAUGAUACGCAAAUUCCUGAAGCAUUCCAAACAUAC